AUUGAACGCUGGCGGCAUGCUUUACACAUGCAAGUCGAACGGUAACAGGGUGCUUGCACCGCUGACGAGUGGCGAACGGGUGAGUAAUGCGUCGGAACGUGCCGAGUAGUGGGGGAUAACGCAGCGAAAGUUGUGCUAAUACCGCAUACGUACUGAGGUAGAAAGUGGGGGACCUUCGGGCCUCACGCUAUUCGAGCGGCCGACGUCUGAUUAGCUAGUAGGGGAGGUAAAGGCUCACCUAGGCGACGAUCAGUAGCGGGUCUGAGAGGAUGAUCCGCCGCACUGGGACUGAGACACGGCCCAGACCCCUACGGGAGGCAGCAGUGGGGAAUUUUGUACAAUGGGCGAAAGCCUGAUCCAGCCAUGCCGCGUGUCUGAAGAAGGCCUUCGGGUUGUAAAGGACUUUUGUCAGGGAGGAAAUCCCUAGUGCUAAUAACACUGGGGGAUGACAGUACCUGAAGAAUAAGCACCGGCUAACUACGUGCCAGCCGCCGCGGUAA
rnacentral:rRNA from 1 species